CUGUCCCAUCUACCGGCUGCUCUGAAUCGGGAGCUUCAGAUGUGGACGCGACUCUACCCAACGUGCAGCAUGGCGCGUGUCAAGGUAUGGACUUCAUACUGUUUGGUACCUGCAGGUGGAUGGAUUCGCUCCGGUCCUUAGAAGACAAACGCAGGAUGAUGCUGUCGGCGUUGCGUGUUCUUAACGUUGCCUGAAAAUGUGUCCGCUGCGGAUGGAGAAUGAGGGAGCAGGUACCGGAUGUGGCCUCCAGGAUGGAAGAAGUUUGUGGACAUCUGCAAAAGGAUGAGUAUAUAAUGUGGAUUACGCUAUUCACUAUGAUACAGAAAUGAUCGCCCAGCAGAGCACCAGGCGGUGGCAGAGCGUUCAGAUGUGAUGUAUGAAGAGUCCUUUCUGGCAGAGCUUUGGCCACAAACAUUCGAAUGGAUUCCUUGAUGAUCGCACCUCGACUCCCCAUUUUCCAAUCUACACUAUACUCUGCGCAUUCACAAAGAUGUCCCGGUUCAGGAAUCAUUACCAACCUCUGUCCUACAUGAUACCAGCCGGGACUAUCCUGCUAACCCAUCUGGUCAUACCGCAUCCCUCUGCUCAGAGACCCCCAAAGUACCGAAGCUGAUCCAGUUUACCGGAUCCAUCCGCAGCUCCCACGUCCACUACAGAGCAGCCGUCUGCAGUAAGAGACUGCAAACCCAGUGGAGCAGCCGCUAGGCAUUAAUCCCAGUUUAUUGUCUUUGACUUCAGUAAAGUCAGCCCUGAUCUCCAGCCCCAGCCGUCCGUGUGCUCCAUACCUUCUGUCCUGCAUGAUGACUCCGUGGACUUCACAACUCAUUCGAUCCUCUGCGCAGGUCUAUCUGAUGCUGUUCUGUCUGUAACGUUCUCCUGCUCUCGAAAGCCGAGCCUCAGCGUGGUCAGGUCUUGUCUGAAGAUGAGAAGGAGCCGGCCGCUCGUAAUCUCUUUGGGAAUGGAAAUAAAACCACAUUAACAGCAGUGCAGCUGGACCCGGUGCAGACUAAGAAUGUAAUUAAAUUGUGAUUAUUGUCAAUGUAGAUUUACUAUUACUC